rnacentral:rRNA from 1 species
GUGGGGAAUUUUGGACAAUGGGCGCAAGCCUGAUCCAGCGAUGCCGCGUGCAGGAAGAAGGCCUUCGGGUUGUAAACUGCUUUUGUACGGAACGAAACGGUCCGGGUUAAUACCCUGGGCUAAUGACGGUACCGUAAGAAUAAGCACCGGCUAACUACGUGCCAGCAGCCGCGGUAAUACGUAGGGUGCAAGCGUUAAUCGGAAUUACUGGGCGUAAAGCGUGCGCAGGCGGUUUUGUAAGACAGGCGUGAAAUCCCCGGGCUCAACCUGGGAAUUGCGCUUGUGACUGCAGUGCUGGAGUGCGGCAGAGGGGGAUGGAAUUCCGCGUGUAGCAGUGAAAUGCGUAGAUAUGCGGAGGAACACCGAUGGCGAAGGCAAUCCCCUGGGCCUGCACUGACGCUCAUGCACGAAAGCGUGGGGAGCAAACAGGAUUAGAUACCCCAGUAGUCC